UCACAUCCAGUUGAAACACUGGUUCCAAUAUGAACACCAAAGUUAAGCAACAUUGAGCCUGGUAAGUACCUAGAUGGAUGACCCCUUGGGAAUACCAG